GACGAACGCUGGCGGCGUGCUUAACACAUGCAAGUCGAACGGAGAAUAUAGAAAUAUAUUUUUAGUGGCGGACGGGUGAGUAACGCGUGGGCAACCUGCCUAAUACAGGGGGAUAACACUGGGAAACUAGUGCUAAUACCGCAUAAUAUACGAAUAUGGCAUCAUAAGCGUAUCAAAGGAGAAAUCCGGUAAUAGAUGGGCCCGCGUCCGAUUAGCUAGUUGGUGGGGUAGAAGCCUACCAAGGCGACGAUCGGUAGCCGAACUGAGAGGUUGAACGGCCACAUUGGGACUGAGACACGGCCCAGACUCCUACAGGAGGCAGCAGUGGGGAAUAUUGCACAAUGGGGGAAACCCUGAUGCAGCAACGCCGCGUGAAGGAAGAAGGUCUUCGGAUUGUAAACUUCUUUGAUGGGGGACGAAAAAAGACGGUACCUCAAAAACAAGCCACGGCUAACUACGUGCCAGCAGCCGCGGUAAUACGUAGGUGGCGAGCGUUGUCCGGAAUUACUGGGUGUAAAGGGCGUGUAGGCGGGAUUAAAAGUCAGAUGUGAAAUCCCGGGGCUUAACCCCGGAACUGCAACUGAAACUGAAAUUCUUGAGUACUGGAGAGGAAAGCGGAAUUCCUAGUGUAGCGGUGAAAUGCGUAGAUAUUAGGAGGAACACCAGUGGCGAAGGCGGCUUUCUGGACAGUAACUGACGCUGAGGCGCGAAAGCGUGGGGAGCAAACAGGAUUAGAUACCCUGGUAGUCCACGCUGUAAACGAUGGAUACUAGGUGUAGGAGGUAUCGACCCCUUCUGUGCCGGAGUUAACACAAUAAGUAUCCCACCUGGGGAGUACGGCCGCAAGGUUGAAACUCAAAGGAAUUGACGGGGGCCCGCACAAGCAGUGGAGUAUGUGGUUUAAUUCGAAGCAACGCGAAGAACCUUACCAGGGCUUGACAUCCCUUGAAGACUAUAGAGAUAUAGUUGUCCUACGGGACAAGGAGACAGGUGGUGCAUGGUUGUCGUCAGCUCGUGUCGUGAGAUGUUGGGUUAAGUCCCGCAACGAGCACAACCCCUGUUGUUAGUUGCCAUCAUUAAGUUGGGCACUCUAGCAAGACUGCCGGUGACAAAUCGGAGGAAGGUGGGGACGACGUCAAAUCAUCAUGCCCCUUAUGUCCUGGGCUACACACGUACUACAAUGGCCAUUACAGCGGGAAGCAAGGCGGUAACGCGGAGCAAAUCCCCAAAGAUGGCCCCAGUUCAGAUUGUGGGCUGCAACCCGCCCACAUGAAGUCGGAAUUGCUAGUAAUGGCAGGUCAGCAUACUGCCGUGAAUACGUUCCCGGGCCU
rnacentral:rRNA from 1 species